ACAAGAUCUUUCUUAGUACUACCUAACACACAUUACUGAGAAACUUGGCAGUUUGAUGACAACCUACUAAUCAAACAGUGCCAUAUGCCUGGAAAGAUUUUAGCCCCUACUUAAAACAUAUUAUCCAAGAGGAAUAUUAAAAUUUUAAUAACAACAUUAAAUAUGGCCUAAGAGAAAGCGCAUUACUGUCCUUGUAUGUUUUGAUAC
rnacentral:lncRNA from 1 species